rnacentral:rRNA from 1 species
UACGGAGGGAGCUAGCGUUGUUCGGAAUUACUGGGCGUAAAGCGCACGUAGGCGGCUUUGUAAGUUAGAGGUGAAAGCCCGGGGCUCAACUCCGGAACUGCCUUUAAGACUGCAUCGCUUGAAUCCGGGAGAGGUGAGUGGAAUUCCGAGUGUAGAGGUGAAAUUCGUAGAUAUUCGGAAGAACACCAGUGGCGAAGGCGGCUCACUGGACCGGUAUUGACGCUGAGGUGCGAAAGGCGUGGGGAGCAAACAGG